rnacentral:rRNA from 1 species
UACGGAGGAUGCGAGCGUUAUCCGGAUUUAUUGGGUUUAAAGGGUGCGCAGGCGGCGUGUCAAGCAAGCGGUAAAAUAGCGGGGCUCAACCCCGUCGAGCCGUUUGAACUGGCGCGCUUGAGUUCAGGCGAGGUAGGCGGAAUUCGUGGUGUAGCGGUGAAAUGCAUAGAUAUCACGAAGAACUCCGAUUGCGAAGGCAGCUUACCAAGCUACUUCUGACGUUGAGGCACGAAAGCGUGGGGAGCAAACAGG